rnacentral:rRNA from 1 species
GAUCAUGCUCAGGAUGAACGCUAGCUACAGGCUUAACGCAUGCAAGUCGAGGGGCAUCAGGAAGAAAGCUUGCUUUCUUUGCUGGCGACCGGCGCACGGGUGAGUAACACGUAUCCAACCUGCCCUUUACUCGGGGAUAGCCUUUCGAAAGAAAGAUUAAUACCCGAUAGCAUAAUGAUUCCGCAUGGUUUCAUUAUUAAAGGAUUCCGGUAAAGGAUGGGGAUGCGUUCCAUUAGGUUGUUGGUGAGG